AGACAGCAGUAGCCGCGGUAAUACGUAGGUGGCAAGCGUUGUCCGGAAUUAUUGGGCGUAAAGCGCGCGCAGGCGGUUUCUUAAGUCUGAUGUGAAAGCCCCCGGCUUAACCGGGGAGGGUCAUUGGAAACUGGGAAACUUGAGUGCAGAAGAGGAGAGUGGAAUUCCACGUGUAGCGGUGAAAUGCGUAGAGAUGUGGAGGAACACCAGUGGCGAAGGCGACUCUCUGGCCUGUAACUGACGCUGAGGAGCGAAAGCGUGGGGAGCGAACAGGAUUAGAUACCCCUGUAGUCCCUGUCUCUUAUAC
rnacentral:rRNA from 1 species